AGAGUUUAGCGGUGGAUCGCUUGGCUCGAGGAUAAAAUCGAUGAAGAACGCAGUUAGCUGUGAUAAACAAUGCGAAUUGCAGACAUAUUGAGCAGUAAAAUUCCGAAUGCACAUUGCGCCCACCGGAUUCAUCCCCUCUUGCCAAUACGUAUUUUUGCAUUU
rnacentral:rRNA from 1 species